rnacentral:rRNA from 1 species
CACGAGAAAUCGGGGCUAAUACCGGAUGUGUCAUCGGACCGCAUGGUCCGCUGAUGAAAGGCGCUCCGGCGUCGCCCAUGGAUGGCUUUGCGGUGCAUUAGCUAGUUGGUGGGGUAACGGCCCACCAAGGCGACGAUGCAUAGCCGACCUGAGAGGGUGAUCGGCCACACUGGGACUGAGACACGGCCCAGACUCCUACGGGAGGCAGCAGUAGGGAAUCUUCCACAAUGGACGAAAGUCUGAUGGAGCAACGCCGCGUGAACGAUGAAGGCUUUCGGGUCGUAAAGUUCUGUUGUAAGGGAACAACAAGUGCCGCAGGCAAUGGCGGCACCUUGACCGUACCUUGCGAGAAACCCACGGCUAACUACUUGCCAGCAACC